AGACCCGAAACCCGGUGAUCUAGCCAUGGGCAGGUUGAAGGUUGGGUAACACUAACUGGAGGACCGAACCGACUAAUGUUGAAAAAUUAGCGGAUGACCUGUGGCUGGGGGUGAAAGGCCAAUCAAACCGGGAGAUAGCUGGUUCUCCCCGAAAGCUAUUUAGGUAGCGCCUCGUGAAUUCAUCUCCGGGGGUAGAGCACUGUUUCGGCUAGGGGGCCAUCCCGGCUUACCAACCCGAUGCAAACUGCGAAUACCGGAGAAUGUUAUCACGGGAGACACACGGCGGGUGCUAACGUCCGUCGUGAAGAGGGAAACAACCCAGACCGCCAGCUAAGGUCCCAAAGUCAUGGUUAAGUGGGAAACGAUGUGGGAAGGCCCAGACAGCCAGGAUGUUGGCUUAGAAGCAGCCAUCAUUUAAAGAAAGCGUAAUAGCUCACUGGUCGAGUCGGCCUGCGCGGAAGAUGUAACGGGGCUAAACCAUGCACCGAAGCUGCGGCAGCGAACGUAUCACCCAAGACAACUUUACGGAGUUGACGAUUGACGGAGCGAAGCGACGUCAAAGCGUUCAUUAAAGUCGAGUUGGCUUAGGGAUACGUUCGUUGGGUAGGGGAGCGUUCUGUAAGCCUGUGAAGGUGUGUCGUGAGGCAUGCUGGAGGUAUCAGAAGUGCGAAUGCUGACAUAAGUAACGAUAAAGCGGGUGAAAAGCCCGCUCGCCGGAAGACCAAGGGUUCCUGUCCAACGUUAAUCGGGGCAGGGUGAGUCGACCCCUAAGGCGAGGCCGAAAGGCGUAGUCGAUGGGAAACGGGUUAAUAUUCCCGUACUUGGUGUUACUGCGAAGGGGGGACGGAGAAGGCUAUGUUGGCCGGGCGACGGUUGUCCCGGUUUAAGCGUGUAGGUGUGUGUUCCAGGUAAAUCCGGUUCACUUUAACACUGAGGCGUGACGACGAGGCACUACGGUGCUGAAGCAACAAAUGCCCUGCUUCCAGGAAAAGCCUCUAAGCAUCAGGUAACACGAAAUCGUACCCCAAACCGACACAGGUGGUCAGGUAGAGAAUACCAAGGCGCUUGAGAGAACUCGGGUGAAG
rnacentral:rRNA from 2 species